rnacentral:rRNA from 1 species
UACAGAGGUCUCAAGCGUUGUUCGGAUUCAUUGGGCGUAAAGAGCGCGCAGGCGGUCGUUCAAGUCGAGUGUGAAAGCCCCCGGCUCAACUGGGGAGGGUCACUCGAUACUGAUCGACUUGAAGGCAGGAGAGGGAAGCGGAAUUCCCGGUGUAGUGGUGAAAUGCGUAGAUAUCGGGAGGAACACCAGUGGCGAAGGCGGCUUCCUGGCCUGUUCUUGACGCUGAGGCGCGAAAGCUAGGGGAGCAAACGGGAUUGAGAAACCCAUUGGUAGUCCAAGAACC